GGAACCUGAAAAGGUACAAGGCUUGC
rnacentral:piRNA from 1 species